rnacentral:rRNA from 1 species
AGUGAACGCUGGCGGUAGGCCUAACACAUGCAAGUCGAACGGCAGCACAGUAAGAGCUUGCUCUUACGGGUGGCGAGUGGCGGACGGGUGGGGAAUACAUCGGAAUCUACUUUUUCGUGGGGGAUAACGUAGGGAAACUUACGCUAAUACCGCAUACGUCCUACGGGUGAAAGCAGGGGAUCUUCGGACCUUGCGCGAUUGAAUGAGCCGAUGUCGAAUUAGCUAGUUGGCGGGGUAAAGGCCCACCAAGGCGACGAUCCGUAGCUGGUCUGAGAGGAUGAUCAGCCACACUGGAACUGAGACACGGUCCAGACUCCUACGGGAGGCAGCAGUGGGGAAUAUUGGACAAUGGGCGCAAGCCUGAUCCAGCCAUACCGCGUGGGUGAAGAAGGCCUUCGGGUUGUAAAGCCCUUUUGUUGGGAAAGAAAAGCAGCAGGUUAAUACCCCGCUGUUCUGACGGUACCCAAAGAAUAAGCACCGGCUAACUUCGUG